UUCAAUUAAAGGGUAGACAGUUGCUAAAAAUAAAGCCUCUUUUGUAACCCAGAAUUCAUUGUUCAGUAUGAGUUUUGAUACAUAUGAGAAGAAAAAAA
rnacentral:snoRNA from 1 species